UUACUUUUCAGUGUAGUGAAGCAACACACAGAAAAUGGCAGAGAAUCUCAGCGGGUCAGGCAGCUUCUCAGCGGAUCCUGAAAGGGUCUUGGCCCAACACGUCAAUUGUUUAUUCUCCUCCACAGAUGCUGCUUGACAUUCCGAAUUCCUCCAGUAUUUUGUGAAGAUUUCCAGCAUCUGCGGAAUCACUUGUGACAAUGUGAUGAAUGGUGUUGUGUUGGUGAGUUCUUGGGCACUGUCGAUACUAUCAACGGUAUGGAGGGAUUAGUCUGUGAUGGGAAAUGCGAUACCCACUGCUCUCUACAGCAUGUUGCAUUGAAAUUAGCAUACCAGGCAAUGGGGAGCAUCAUGGCCUGGCACAGAAGCACGAGAUUGAAAGACGUUGCAGGUGCUUGUAAACUCAGUCAGCUGUAUCAUGAGAACUUGCCUCCUCACCAUUGAGAACAUCUUCAAAAAACACAGCAUCAGGAAGGCAUCACCCAGGACAUGCCCUCUUUGCAUUACUACCAUCAGGGAGGAGGUACAAGAGUCUGAAGACACACACUCAAUGUUUCAGGACCAUCUUCUUCCCCUCCACCAUCAGAUUUCUGAAUCAUCCAUGUACACUACCUCACUAUUUUGCUCCUUUUUUGCACUACUUAUUUGAUUUUUAAUGUAUUUCUUAUUGUGACUUAUAGCAAAUUUUUAUGUAUUGUUUUGCUGAAAAACAACACAUUUGAUGACAUAUUCUGUAAUUAUAAACCUGAUUUUAGGGAUACUUUUAACAUAAGACCACAAGAUCUGGCCCAUCAAGUCUGCUCCAUCAUUUCAUCAUGACUGAAUAAUCGGUGAGAUGCCAAAUCACCUUCAACUAUUAGGAAAGUAGAGGUUUUUGCAUGCCUUGUUCAUCAAUACAUCUACGUGCUCUGCCCAGGGCAGGCCAUCUGAGAUGUUAUAAUAAUGGCAGGACAUUACCCUUUUUGCACAAGCAUUGGCAGUUCACUUUGUUUUGAGGAAACUACCAUCAGUCUUCAUUCUGAAGAUUAGAAGGAGCAUCCAGUUAGCAAGAUGAGGGAGAUCCAUUUUCAUUGAGGGAUCAGUGGUGGAAAGGGUAAGCAGUUUCAAUUCCCUAGUAGUCAACAUCUCAGAGGAUCUGUCCUGGGUCCAGCACAUUGAUGCAAUCAUGAAGAAACCAGCAGCUGUGCUUUGUUAGGAGUUUGAAGAGCUUUGGUCUGUCACAAAGGCUCCAGCAAGUUUCUUUAGAUGUACAGUGGAGAGCAGACUGAUUGUAGCACAGCCUUGUAUGGAGAGAGAUGAAAGAUUAGCUUUAUUUGUCACAUGCACAUUGAAGAAUACAGUGAAAUACAUUGUUUGCAAUAACCAAAUCCCUGAGGUUGUGUAGAACAAUCCACAGGUGUCACCACACUUCCAGCAUCAACUGAAGGUCAACUGAAGGGAUAACAAGUGAACAAGGGCCUGUAUGAACACAAGCACUCCCAGAGAGAAACACUGCAACAUGAAAGGUGCAAACACUUUUACUGUACUCGCAAGACCCUGCUGAACAUUGGUAAGACAAAAUACUGAUGCUUUGAUUCUCCUUCCCUAGGAUGUACAGACCAGGGCCUCAUGCCACAGCGUCACCUGUAACAGGAGGCACUGGAGGCGAUGUGGGAGAGAGCAGUCAUGCCAUGGGUGUGCUGGAAUCCGGGUGGAGUUGGGGGCAGACCCCGAAAACCAAUUCUCCCAAUGGUGCUGGUCUCCGGUGUUCACUCCCUGGAAAAGAAGCUGGAUUGCCUCCAUCUUCAGCUGACCCAGCACAAGGCAACCUGAUCUGAAAUUGAACCCGGGUUUCUGGUACUGUGAAGCGUUGUGCUAACCUCUAUACUAACAUGCUAUGUUCUUAUGCUGCCACAAGACAACAAAAUUCACAUUGUUUAAGACGCUGAUAAUAAACCCGAUUCUGAUUUUGAGGUUACCCCUCCCUUUUCGCAAGACUGUACAGAGAGGAAAUUAACGCCAGCUCUUUCUCUCCCCAUCUCCAGCCUCUGCCUCUGGGUAAACUGACUUAGUUUUUGCAACACAGCAUCAAGUCUAAUGCAGGAGCCCAAUCGCCCGUGAAGCAAUGAUUGUGCUGUGUGUCUGUGCAGUGUGGCAGGCAAUCAAAGACCAGCGGCCAUGGGGCAUUUUAGCAGGAGAUGAGGCUGUCAGCUCUUUUAAAGUGCUGAAGUGGUUGGCAGAACAGAACAAAUUUGGCAAUUCGGUGCAGCAAUGAAUCAGUGAUUAGUGCCUAGUAGCACCAACUGAUUUUGAAUAGAGUUUAAAUGGCGUCGCUUCCAAUAGCUGAAUAAGCAUUUGAUUAGCUCUGAAUGGCUAUUCCCAACAGCCUCUUCAGUGUGAUUGUCCAUUUGACUGCAAAUACACUCAAAAACCCGGCAAAAAUAACUGUAUCCCACAUAGUGUGAUGCAGGGUUCUACGAGUUGUGAAUUGGCUCUUAAACACAGGGAAGGUUUACAACCAUCAGGUGUAGCUCCAUCAAAAGAAAGGAAAUGAUAGGCCAGUUAGUCUGACUUCAGCAGAUGGGAAGAUGCUGGAUUUGAUUGUUAAGGAUAUGUGUUUUGGUGUACUUGGAGCCACAUGGUAAAAUAGGCCUAAUUCAGCAUGGUUUCCUUCAAGGGAAAUUUUACCUGACAAAUCUGCUAGAAUUCUUUGAGGCAAUAACACGCAGGAUAGACAAAGGAGAAGCGGUGGAUGUUGUGUACUUGGAUUUUUAGAAGACCUUCAACAAGGUGCCAUACCGGAGGUUGCUUAACAAGAGUCCAUGGUAUUACAGGAAAGAUACUAGCAUGGAUAGAGCAUUGGCUGAUUGGCAGGAGGCAAAGACUGGUAUAAAGAGAGCCUUUUCUGGUUGGCAGUCAAGGACUAGUAGUGUUCCGCAGGGGUCGGUGCAGGGACAUUGUAUGUUGAUGAUUUGGGUGAUGGAAUUGAUGGCUCUCUGGCGAAAUUUGCAGCCAAUAUGAAGAUAGGUGGAGUUGCAGGUUGUGUGAAGGAAGGAAGAAGGCUGCAGAAGGACUUGGACAGAUGAAAGGAAUAGGCAAAGUAAUGUGGGCUGAAGGGCCCAUUCUUGUCCUGUACCAUUGUAUAUUCGAUGGAGGAGAUAAAGUACAGCUUCACAAUGUGGUGGAAAUAGCCCAGUCCAUCACAGGAAAGGCCGUCCCCACCACUGAGCCCAUUCUACAAGGAGCACUACCACAAGAAAGCAGCAUCUGUCUCCAAGGAUCCCCACCAUCCAGCCUAUGCUCUCCUUUUGCUGCUGCCAUCAGGAAGGAAGUAGAGGAGCCUUGGGAUCCACAGCACCAGGUUCAGGAACAAUUUUUUCCCUUCAACCAUCAGACACCUGAAUCAGUGUGGAUAACUUCGGUCACCUCAACUCUGAACUGACUCCACAACCUAUGCACUCAUUUUCAAGGACUCUACAACUCAGUAUUAUUUACUUAUCGAUUGAUUGGUUGGUCUUCUUUUGCACAGAUGUUUGUCAGUCUUCGUGUGUACUUUUUAAAUGAGUCUUUUGUAUUUUUCUGUUCUACUGUGAAUGCCCACAAGAAUAUAAAUCUCAGGGUGCUAUAUGAUGACAUAUCUGUACUUUGAUCAUAAACUUACUUCAAACUUUUUAACUUUGACCUUAAUCUUGUUCUAAUAAUUGCUUUAUUUAAGCAGCAAAAAGAACUAAGUUAAUUCUGGAUUUAAAAUUGGAAGUAAAUUGGUAAAUCGGUUUACUAUUCUCACACAGAUCAGAUAAAGCUGCAGAAAAUUGCAAGCUGCCAGCUCCAGCAUGGGCAGUAGCCUCCCCAGCAUCGAGGACAUCCUUAAAAGGCAAUGCUCCAGAAAGCCAGUGUAAGUCAUUGAGGACCCCAUCACCAGUAACAUGCCAUCUUUUUAUUGUUACCAUCAAAGAGGAGGUACAGGAUCCUGAAGACACACACUCAACACGUCAGAAACUUACACACACAUGCACACACACACAAUUAUAUAUGCAAAAAAAAUAUGUGUGCGUACACACAUACCCAUUCACACACAUAUUUCCAAUUGUAAUUUAUAGUCUUCUUAAAUGAUUAUGUAUUACACACCACUGCUGCCACAAUACAGCAAAUUUCAUGGUAUAUGCCAGUGAUAUUAAACCUGAUUCUGACGUAUCAAGGUUCAGUGAAACAGCAUGCCAUCCAUACAGAUGAUUUCAGCACAUUAGUGCACAGGGGAAAAAUAGUAAUGGAAUGCAGAAUUCUUUGAGUCAAAGAAUUUUGAUCUAAAAGUUUAGAAUGAUUAUAUCAAAAAUAGUGAGUAGAACAGCAGAGAGAGAAAGUUAGGUACUGUAAGUUUAACUUAACCAGAAUUUAGUUUCAGAUUUCUUAUUUAGAGAUACAGGCCUUUGCAGCCCAAUAAGUCCAUUCUGUUCAUUUACACCCAAGUGAUCAAUUAACCUCCUCAUCCAUUUGUCUGAGUGCUCUGGGAGUAAACCAGAGCACUCAGAGGAAACCCACAUAGUUAUGGGGAGAAUGUACAUACUCCUUAAAGGCAGUGGUGACAAUUGAGCCCUAGGGCCACUGGCAUUGUAAUAACGUUAUGCUAACUGCUACACUAUGGUGCCAUUCUGAACUUCCAGCUGAUACAGCGUGGAAUAGGCCUUUCUGGCUCUUCGAGCCAUGUAGCCAAGCAAUCCCUUGAUUUAACUCGAACCUAGUCACGAGUCAAUUUUCAAUGACCAAUUAACCUACUAACCACUAUGUCUUUGGACUGUGGGAGUAAGCCCACACUGUCACAGGGAGAACAUACAAAAUCCUUACAGGCAGUGAUGGGAACUGAACCUGGGUCACUGGUACUGUAAAGGGUUCUGCUAACCACAAUGCUAGUAUGCCACCCUGAGCCUCUGCAGCUUUUCUUUGAUUUGUUAGCUAGAGCUUCUCAUGUAACUUUUCUGACUUUAUCAUUUAAUCUCCCUUGCCUUCUCUCAGUGAAGUGCUUUGAGAGAUAAGGGCAGCUGGAUGUCGAUCAGUUAUUCUUUAUGAAUUCACGGCUGGCAGCCGGCAGAGAGUUCCUGCCUUCAUUUAGACCAUGUCAUUGGUAGAAGGGUUUAUGAUAUUAGCUGCCUUCGGUGAAAGUGCAGUGUUUAGAAGUUACACAUUAAGAUUGAACAUCUGAACAAGGUGAGAUCCAUCUGUGAAUCCUCACAGGAAAUCUACAAGAAAGGAGCAAGUUUCUGGUUUAAUAUUUUAGAAGCUCGAUAAAUUCAGAGGCCGGGCCUGUGGCAUGGAAUAUAGAUUAUAAAGUCUCAAAAGUAAUUACAGACCUGUUAGUGUAAGUGGCAUCCACAGUGUGGAAUAAGAAAGCUCUGGAGGAUUCACUCAGGAUGUGUUCAGAGAGGAAAAGCUAUAAGGAGAGCUUGACGAGUUCAGAGACAAUCAGUUGUGACUUGGGAAUUGAUGCAAUUCUUUGAGCAGAUAACUCAAUUGGUAGGUGAAAUUUACUCAGAAGGCAGAAGAUGUCAAGUUCCAAUUGUAUUGAGCCAUGUUCACAGUGCACCUUGAGUACUGAGUCCAGUCGAGGUUACCUAAACACGAGGGAGGUCUGCAGAUUUAUUUUUCCUGGAGCGUGAAUAGCGAUGGCAGUGAGCUCCUAAAAGAAGCAAAGCUUUGUGUUUCUCCUACUCCUUCCCUGCCUUUUUCAGCACGAACACAAGUUCCAAUGUGCUGUGGUAGAGGGAGAUACUUUAGGGGCAUUUAAAAGACUCUUAAAUGCCCAUCACCUCCCUCUGGUUCCCCUCCUCUUUCCUCUUUCCUCACCCUCUCAAAAUGUCCAUCACCCAGACACUCCUCCCACCUCUUCCUCUUCCCACUUCAUUUCCUUUCUUCCAUGGUCCACUGUCCUCUUCAAACAGAUACCUUUUUCUUCCACUUGUCACCUCCCAGUUUCUUCCUUCAUCCCCCCCCAUUGCUUCCGCCCAACCACCUCCCCCCCCCCCACCUGGUAUCACCUGUCACCUGUGCUCCUCCACUACCCACCUUAUUAUUGUAGCUGCUUCCACCUUUCCUUUCCAGUCCUGAUGAAGAUUUUGGCUCAAAAGCUCAACUUAUUCCCCUCCAUAAUUGAAGCCUGACCUUUUGAGUUCCACCAGCAUUUUGUGAGAGUUUCUCAGAACACAGAGAGAUGAGUUUUUACUCUCUGCUGAUAAAUGGCUGGAUGAAGAGCAGCUAGAAAAUUCGGUGUGGGGAGGUUGUCAGGUGGAAGGGAGUGGUAGGACUUAAGUGGAGUACAUCGCACAAAAUGAGGGGUCAGCGCCGUCUUGAAUUUCCAUCCACUUAAAUGUGAGGUUACUGAGGUAGUUGAGUUUUUCACACAGAGUGGUGGGUGUGUAGAAUGCCCUGUCGGGGUGGUGGUAGAGGCAGCUGUAUUAGAGGAAUUUAAGAGACUCUUAGGCAUAUGGAUGAUAGAAAAAUGUAGGGCUAUGUGGGAGGGUUAGAGUAGGUUAAAGGUCAACACAACAUUGUGGUAGUAAAGUAUUUGAAGUUAUUUGAAUUAAAUCAAAUCAGUCAAGAUGUCAUCAUGCUAUGGCCUCUGUCAAGGUCAUAGCUCAGACAUAAUUGUUUAUUUUAAUUCGUAGAGAUGGUUUUGGAGACCAUGGUUUUGGAGACAUGGAGACAUUGGUUUUGGAGUGGAGAAUUAAAGAUCAAGUGAUGGGUAAUGGUUUAAGGACAGGGACUGUGUGUGUGUUUGUGUGCAUGGCUGGUGGAUGGGAGGAUGGAAUUCUGCUUGUUUUGGUGUUAUUGGUGUGUUCUGUCUCAAAUGUCAAGUUUCAAGUUUAAUUAUCACUAUGCAUGGCUAUAGCCAAAUCAAACUGUUUUCCUCCAGGACCAACUGUAAAACAUUCCCAGCAGCACUCAUCACAUUGUAAGUAGGAUGUAGCACAUAUAGCAUAUAUGGUUACGAUUUCAGGGAAAAAAUACAGUUACAAAGAGAGAAAAAAAUAACGUAGCCCUGAGUUGUCCUGAUCCAGCUUGCUGUUCCAGCAAACAAAUGCUGGGGGCAGCACUGAGCAAACACCAGAGAGCAGCACCAAGCGAACACUGGAGAGCAGCACCAAGCAAACACAGAGGGGAGCACCAAGCGAAUACUAGAGGGCAGCACAGAGCAAACACUAGAGGGCAGCACUGAGCAAACACUGGAGAGCAGCACUGAAUGAACACUGAGGGGAGCAUCUACAGGAGGGGCUAUCCCCCAACACUGUACAAAAUCCAGUUGCACACAGAGCCAGCUCCAACGACUCCUUCACUGGCAACCAUCAGCAGGCAACUCAGAGGCAUGUGGGCCUUGUCUAUGCAACAGCUGAGGCAACACAGCUCUCUCACCAUCGGUCUAAAAAUGAGCCAGUGAACCGGGCUUGCAGCAUUCUACAUUACCAAUGUCUGAGAGGGUCUUGUGAACACAAUAAAAAUGUCCAAGGCAAUCACUCAUUCAGCAACGUCCAGGCGACAACACACCAAUGGUAUGCAAUAAGACCAGCUCCAUCACUAUUGAGUGACUCACUGAUGGCGUAGUCCUGCAGUACUUGAUGUUCUCAGUAUCCAGCAGUGAUUGUCAAACACAAGAGGAAUAUACAAGAUGAACAAAUACACCUUUGAUUGGACCCGGAGUGCCCACUGCGUCCAAGCACACUGCCAUGUUAACGGAAGUUCUAUGUUGUUCUGCCAAGCAUUGUGUCCAUGCUGUAUUGGCACCGGGAAGUGUGGCAACAAUUGUGAAUUUACCCCAGCACAUCUUUAGGUUUUUGUUGGUUGCAUGUUUCAACGUAUUUGUAAUAAAUAAACGAGCCUGAAUCUAAAUAAAAUGAGCCUGCCCUUGAA